GAGAUAUUAGUAAAAUUAUUACCUAAUCUUGUCAAGAUUAAAUUACGGGCUAAACACCCGUAUAUCUCC
rnacentral:tRNA from 2 species